ACUGUUAGACUUGAAUUAUUAGGAAGUAACUAGAAUAUGUAGUGUAGCGGUGAAAUGCUUAGAGAUUACAUGGAAUACCAAUUGCGAAGGCAGGUUACUACUAAUUGAUUGACGCUGAUGGACGAAAGCGUGGGUAGCGAACAGGAUUAGAUACCCUGGUAGUCCACGCCCGUAAACGAUGGAUACUAGCUGUUGGAAGCAAUUUCAGUGGCUAAGCGAAAGUGAUAAGUAUCCCACCUGGGGAGUACGUUCGCAAGAAUGAAACUCAAAGGAAUUGACGGGGGCCCGCACAAGCGGUGGAGCAUGUGGUUUAAUUCGAUGAUACGCGAGGAACCUUACCAAGGCUUAAAUGUAGAUUGACCGGUUUGGAAACAGAUCUUUCGCAAGACAAUUUACAAGGUGCUGCAUGGUUGUCGUCAGCUCGUGCCGUGAGGUGUCAGGUUAAGUCCUAUAACGAGCGCAACCCCUGUUGUUAGUUGCCAGCGAGUCAAGUCGGGAACUCUAACAAGACUGCCAGUGCAAACUGUGAGGAAGGUGGGGAUGACGUCAAAUCAUCACGGCCCUUACGCCUUGGGCUACACACGUGCUACAAUGGCCGGUACAGAGAGCAGCCACUGGGCGACCAGGAGCGAAUCUAUAAAACCGGUCACAGUUCGGAUCGGAGUCUGCAACUCGACUCC
rnacentral:rRNA from 1 species